ACCUGAGGCGGCGCGAGGAGCUGAGCUCGGUGACGGGAGAAGGAGGCGUGGCUUCAGCGCCAUGGGCGCGAGAGCGGGCGGUUAGGAGAAGGAACUGCCAAAGGCGUGGCCUCGCCUCUUCGCCCGCUUUCGUGUGCCUGUUGUUACUGCUAUUUAUUCGCUUCCCCGUGGCCCCUGACGCCUUGCAGUUUUAGCUGCCUUAGUACAUAGGUACCUAACGUGUGCUUGUUCCGUUGAGGUUGCUUUUGGGCGCGUUUAUGAAUUUAAACAGGUUAGCUGCCGACGUCCUCAUAGAAUCUCUUCUCACAGACCUGCGGCGCGUUCCUAUACAUUGCCUACUCAGAAGUAAGCUCCCCAGCGAGGCCUGGGCCUCUUCCAGACUUUGAGGCCCUUAGCCUCUGCUCCCCGCCCCCAGACGAAAAGGAGCCCGUACUCACCAUGAAGUUGUUACAGUAAGUGCCACACUUUCAACAUUUGGGGAUAAAAAGGUGCUGAUACUCCCCCCGCCCCCCUCAAAAAACAACACUGCAAGCCAUAUAUAUAUAUAUAUGUGUGUGUGUGUGUGUAUAUAUAUAUAUAUAUAUAUAUAAAACACCACUAAAAUCUAAUAAGGCACAUUCCUGUCUGAUACACAUAAAAACAAGGCACGAAACUUGCCAAACGCCAAAAAAUUAACAGCGUCUAAAUUCUGAGCCCUGCUUUUGAACUAGGCCAAAUCCCCUGCCCGCCGUCCUCAUCCGUGAGGAUGUGAGUGACUUCUGUCAGGGUUGUUGAACAAAAUGUAUAUACUGUAUUGUAAAGUGCUUUACACAAUGACUACUAGCCUUGUUGGCCAAAUCAAACAGUUGUAGUUGUGGAGCUCCCUCAUCUCUCAAGCCCCUUUCCUUUUCUGAGGAGGGGCCCUGGGAUGAGUGUAGCCUUUUGGGCAUUGCUGCAGUUGCACCCCUUCCCCCACUGGCUCAGAAGCAGGAGAGGCUGCCAUGGGGUGCCAGUUUGGUGCUGCUGGGGAAGCUGUUCUCUGGGCACUGCCACUCAGUUGCCAAACAAAUCUCUAGCCUUCCUACCAUUGUGGAUUGCUGAGGAGCUGCUGGGAUGAUCUCCACUCACUUCUGCAGCUUCAGAGUUGUGGGGAAGGCUGACCACUUGCCAAGGUGAACACGGCAAAUGGAAUUGUUGAACUUACACAGUAUGAUAGUUGUUCUGUCACAAUUUUAAUUUUAACAGUUGUGAAUGGGGGAUGGAUAUGUGCCUUUUGGCACAGGCCUUUGUUUGUUUUUAAGCAUACAAUAGAAUAAAACAAGAUAAGGCUUAAAAGCCAGCAGAAUGGAAAAGCCCUGUGCAUGUGUUACUCAGAUGUAGGGCAUUAUUAUGUUGAGUGCAGAUUAGACCAUAGUGUUAUUCUCCCCAUGAUUGUGUGCAGUUGUCUUUAGGGAAAUUCCGAAGCUCAAGCAUCUGGCUGUAUAGGGGCUUUGUACUAUCAGGAUACCUAGUGUCCGUAUCGUGCAGUGCUUGUGCAUUGGCAUUUCCCUACAGACAACUGUGAACAACACAUAGUUGUAGGAAGAAAUUAUAGCACAGGGCAGGUUAAAUACAUGGUCACUCUCUAUAGUCAAUGUAGCUAUGCCCUGUAUGUGAGAGAAAUGUGAAUAGGGCUGCAGUCAAACUAAAAGCUUAAAAAGUCCAGCAAAUAGCAACAAUACCUGGUGCUGAAAAGAUAAUGGGAGAUGGUACCAGGGAAGCCUACCUGAGGAACGAGUUCUGAAGGCAGGACAAAACAACCAAAAGGUGCCUCAGGUGGAAAGUAGAAAGCCCUCUGAUAGGUAUCCUAGUUCUAAGCUUUUUAAGGCUUCAAAAGCUAAAACAAGUACAUGGAAUUGGGACCAGAAAAUUAGUUCAAAAGUGCAAUUCUAUGCAUACUCCAAAUCAGUGCAGACAGGAUUGUACUAAGCCCCUUUUGACACAGUGUGGGAUUUACAAGUGAACAUGCAUAGCAAUGGGUUACAAUCUGAAGGAAACUAAACUCUAAAAGUACACUGAGGAUCUUAAAUUAUCAUGCUAGAUUUUAAGAAUAAGGAAUGAACAGACUUUUGGGGGUUAAUUUACCAGGCUAUGGCUUUUUAUUAUCAACUACCGGUACUUCUUGAUCAGCCAUGAGCUUAUCUUCAGAUAGUGUGCUUCUUGUUCUUAUUGGUUAGGGCACAUUUGAGCUUGGUUGUUCUGAAUUUAUUUGUUUCUGAAUCUGACUUGCAUUUUUAGUGUUGUUUGCUUACAUUCUUAUUUGCCAGAGCAUUCAUAUUCCUCAAAGUUGUCUUUCCUAGAAGAUGCACUCUGAAUUUUUAGAAAGUAUUUUGGGAGAAAUGUACAAUUGCACAUCCCUACCUUAUUUGUGUUAGUUGCAGAACAGAUUUGUAAUUGUCAAAUUUGUGCUGCAAAUAAUAAGUAGAAUAUCAAAAUACAGUGGUGCCUCGCGAGAGUCUUCGUCUAGCGGUUUUUUCGUCUUGCGAAGCAACCCUAUUAGCGGCUUAACGGAUUAGCGCUAUUAGCGGUUUAGCGGCUAUUAAAGGCUUAUCGGCUUAUCGGAUUAGCUGCUAAAAGGCUAUUAAAGGCUUAGCGGCUUAGAUAAAGGGGGGGAAAGCGAAAAAAAAAUCUCAAGACUCGCAAGACAUUUUCGUCUUGCGAAGCAUGCCCAUAGGGAAAUUCGUCCUGCGAAGCAACUCAAAAACGGAAAACCCUUUCGUCUAGCGGGUUUUCCGUCUUGCGAGGCAUUCGUCUUGCGGGGCACCACUGUAUAACCAAAACUGGUGGAAAGUAUGUUUAUUGUUCUAUAUCUUCUUUGACAGGUGAAUAGUCAAUGAGAGGGAAAGCAAGAGAGGUACAGGGACAAUAAACUCAGCCAACUCAUAACAACAUGAUGGGUGAGUAUUAAUGUAUUUAUUGUUUCUGUUUCUAUUUUAUGUAAUAUUAGUGUAACAUUGCUUGGAUAACAGUUUUAUGUUGUGGUGGUAGUAUAGCCAUAUUUCCCAUUCAUAAGAUGUGUACUGGUUCAGAAAGUAUGAGGACUGGGCUGUUAGCCAUGCAGAUAGCCACUACUAUUGUAAAGGUAUGGUUAGGAUUCUAAAUACCGCUUGGCACUGAUAGAACUGUAAUACAAAUCCAAGUAUAAAUGUUAGGAAUGUAUAAGUUGACAGUGGCUGACAGAUUGGCCUGUUUGUAGCAGAUGUCAUGAGGAAGGUAUAAGUGUAAAAGGAGUUAGGAUAAACCAAUCAAGACAUUGUUAAAAAAUUUAUUAGCAAUUUUUAAAAUAACAUAAUUCCUCAGAUAAAAAUGCAAUCUUACAGGAAUAUACAUUUGUCUCACACCAAGGCAAUUCUCUAGCUCACUUUGAGGGUCAUUCAUUCUGUUUAUUUAAAAUGUGUGAGAAGAGGGCAAGACUGAUUGUUUGUUUUUAACCUAUGGCAGGCUUACAUUAUGGUUACAAACUGUACAGCUUUAUUUUACAAGGGCAAUUUUAGCCUUCUUGAUUUCAGUUGGUUCAUGAAAACUGGGUCUUAAAACAGUGGGACCUGCUCAACAGCUCUGUCUGGAACCUCUUUAAGUUAGAUAGUAUGAGCAUUUUGGAUUAGGGAGGAGGAAAAGUGGAAGAAUUUACAUCUUGACAGACAUAACAGCUUUUAAGAGCUCAGUUCAUUCAUGGAUCUAAGCAAUUAGAAAGAAAGUUACAUGCAGAAAUCUGUAUCAUAUCAACUAAACAUUUAUAGCAGAUGGUCAGGAGAAAUGAAGUUCCUUGGAUGGUCAGAGGAAGUGAAAGUUGUGCAUGAGCCCACUGCACACUGAAAUUAAUAAGAUGGAUAGUUUUGUCAGGAUGAACCCCUCAGUUCAAUGAAAUAAGGAGAAACAUAUACUGAAGCUAUACUUGGUUUGCCUGUUCCUGUAAUGUGAUCGCAGACAUCAAUAAGAAUGUAGCCUAAAAAACGUGGAAUCAUACCCUAAAUUAUAUUUGCUUCUGAGCUGGAUUACAGUAGGUAUUCUUUUCUUUAAAAAAAAUUAUCCUUGACUUGCUAAGCUUCACUAUUUUAGGAAGGAAUUCUUCCUUUCUUUCUAUAUAUAUAUAUAUCCAAGAAAGGCACAGUGUGGCCUCUUUCAUCCAGACACUUUUAAGAAAUCAAAUUUGUCUGUAGUAGAGGCAUCUUUGACAGAGAGACAGCAUUGUAUAAAACAUAGCAAUAUUUAUUGGUAGGGACAUGCAACUUGUUUUUUCAUGGAAGGAUGAUUAUGUGGAAGCUCUAGGUACAUGAGGUUAUGAGGUGCAGCAUCUUAUCUUGCAAUGCUCUUUGUGUGUGUGUGCAUUUGAAUUAGAGAUUUACCUAAAAACAUAGAAAUCAUUUCUUGUUCAGAUGUUUAGAGCUUUUAAGACACUUCUUAUCCAUUCAUGUUGCAAGAGCUGUAGAAACUCUUAGUAGUUCCUAAACGUACAUGAUUGAGACAAUAAAUGAUUGAAGUGAUUUUUUAAAAAUAUAAAUUUGGUUCUGCUGACAGAAAUUUCUCAAAUAAUAGCCCAUGGUUAAAACUAGGCCAGAAACAUCAAAUAGUUUGAAUGUGCCACCACACUAUUUGUUUGCCUUGAUUAAUAUGGUGCAAGGAUACAGUUUUGCUGCUGAGAGCCUGCUUACAUUGAUAAGAUGCAUGGAAUGGACUGUGGAGGAGGCUGACAUCUAUUUUGUAUUGUGCUUGCAAUGGUGAAGCCUCUGACACUAGUUGACUAAGUAAGUCAGUAUUAAUACACUAACUCAUGAACACCUGCCCCCAAAUCAGUGUUGUAGGCAAUGGUCAACUGAGACAAGAAUGAUCUGUAAAGUAACCUUAGCACUUCAGGAUAAAAAGAGGGAUUGUGUACGCUGCCUUAAGCUCCUUAGAGGAACAGAAGGGCUAAAAUAUUAUAAGUAAAAUAAAUAAUAAAGGUCAGAAGGGGUUUUAUGCUGUGUAGGGAGGGUAGGAGGUCAGCUGCCUAAAGGACUUGGGUCAUUCCAUGUCAUUUCAACAAGGUCAUGUCACCCUCCAUCUCGGAUGUUGAUGAAAUUUGGUGUACACCCAUCCCUUAUGAUUGAAAGAAACCCCCUUAAAUUUUCCCCUUCUAUCUCAAACGGUUUUAAUUUUAUAGCACUUCAAAGUUUCGUUAAAUCUGCGUUGUCUGUCCCCUUUGAGACCCUCGUCACAAUAAACCCUUGUGUACAUUUUAUUUAUUUUUCUUCAUAACAAUUGAUCAGAUCUAUUUGAAAUUUUACACAGAGCUCAAUAACAUGAUGAGGAUUUCAGAAAAAAAUACACCAGCACUCAAAAGAUUUUAUAAAUGCCUACAAAAAAAUAUAAAUGCACUUGAAGGCUAGUUUUUUUGGUGGAAAACCUAGGUUUAGAAAACCUGAAUUUACAGCAUGGGGGCAUGGUAUAACCAAAAGUUUUUGAUGUAGAAAAUUAUUGCAAAGAAUUCUUUCUUGAGAAAGAAUGAAAUUUAUGGGUUUUUAUUCCUUGUAAUGAAAAUUUUACAUUUUUGGACAUCGUAGGUAAAAAAUGGCUACCAUUUUGUACAACUCUCCUACAAUCCAUAGCAGUAGUAGAAAAAAUUACUGAAACAAAGUUGUUCAUCUUAAAAAUUACAAUAAUAUUGGUUAUUAUAGAUUUUUUUGAAAGUGCACACUUGUUUCUAGUUUUGGGGUAUUUAAAAUUAUGAAAAUUGGCUAUCGUGAAAUCAAUAAUAAUAAUAAUAAUAAAUUCGGUCAGAAACUUUAAAUGCUGACAUGUAAGGUAAUAAGACCUAGCAAGAAAAAGAUUAAAAGAAUUUAAAAUUAUUAUAUUCAAUUAUGCAAUAUUACAUGAUCCCCAGUUUGUUUUUCAGAAUAUUAUUGCAUACAAAGACAAGUCUAUCUUACAAAGGAAAAGAAAAAGAGAAUGAUGUUUGUGUGCCAUCUUGAAAUAAUGGAUGCAUGGAGACUUUUUAACAUUUAUGUUAAAUAUAUUGAGGUGUAAUUCACAAUGAGGCUGUUUUAUGACAGCAGAUACAUUAAUAACAGUAAAGACAACAGUUAAACUAAAGUAAAAAAUUACCAUAACAGAUUAUGCUAUUAUCACAGUUGAUUACCUUACAAGUUCAAUGCUCCUCAGUUUCCUUGCUGUAGCCUCAGUGUCACCUGUAAGUAUUUCAUUUUUUUCUUCCAUCAACACCAGUGGCUUGCAUGACUCAUCUGCAUUGCAUCACCCAACCUCAGCUAUCUAUGAUUCAUCCACAAACUGAACAAUAGCAUACACAACUAGCAAGGCUUCUCUGAACUGCAAUCUGAGAAAACAUUUUAAAAUGUCUAAUAUUUUAAAUAUUUCUGAAAUGAAUAAUUAUUUUUUAAAUAAUUGAUGUACUCAUAUUUUUAUAUAAUACUCAAUUCUUAAUUUUUUGGAAUAUUUUUCUUGCUAGGUCUUACUUCCUUACAUGUCAGCAUUUAAUGUUCUACUGACUGUAAAUUCUUUUUUUCUUUUUUUAUAUUCCUGAUAGCCAAUUUUCAUAACUUCAAAAUCCCAAAAUUAAAACAAAUCUGCACUUUUGAAAAAAACCUAUAAUAAUAUUAUUUUAAUUUUUAAGAUGAACAACUUUGUUUCAUUAAUGUUUUCUAUUACAGCUAUGGAUUGUAGGAAAGUUGUACAAAAUGGCUACCCAGUAGCCAUUUUCCCCCACGAUGUCCAAAAAACGUAAAAUUUUCAUUACAAGGAAUAAAAAAUCACAAAUUUCAUUCUUUGUCAAGAAAGAGCAUGUCUUUGCAAUAAUUUUCAACAUCAAAAACUUUUGGUUACAUCAUGCCCACAUGCUGUAAAUUCAGGUUUUCUAAACCUAGUUUUUCCAUAAAAAAACUAGGCUACAAGUGCAUUUAUAAUUUUUUGUAGGCAUUUAUAAAAUCUUUUGAGUGCUGGUGUAUUUUUUUCUGAAAUCCUCAUCAUUUUAUUGAGCUCUGUGUAAAAUUUCAAAGAGAUCUGAUAAUUGUUUAUGGAGGGAAAAAAACCCCAGAAUGUACACAAGGGUAUCUUGUGCCGAGAGUCUCAAGAGGGACAGACAAUGCAGAUUUAACGAAACUUUGAAGUGCUUUAAAAAUAAAACCGUUUGAGAUAGAGGGGAAAAAAUUAAGGGGGUUUCUUUCAAUCAUAAGUGAAGGGUGUACACCAAGUUUCAUCAAAAUCUGAAAUGGUGGGUGAGAAAACCCUUGGUUAUUUUGCAUUGAUUUGAUGUGGAAUGAUCCAUUUGGGAUAAAUAGGAACCUGAGGAAGCUUGUGUGAUGCAAAGAUGGAGAAAGGUGGGCUGAGUUGGAGAAAGGGGUACUGAGGCAAAGCCUCCCAGGGGGCUCAGUGCAGGAAGGAGGUGGAUAGGCAAAGGGAGGAUAAGAGGGUUAGAGGCUGUGACCAGGGAGCCAAGAGGACAUAAGCUGCUAGGACACUAACAAGAGUGGCACAGAAGGAGGAUUUUGUCUGAUGUGGUUUCUCCCGUCACUGUAACAUUGUGACCUACAACAACCCUGAGGUGGUAAUUUUGGGAUUUUUAAAAUUUUCACAGCACAUAAACUACCUUCUCUACCAAUGUGCAAGAUACUGACAUGAAUUCUUAUUAAGUAAUUGGUGAUCAUGAGCCAGAUAAUAUGCCUAGAGCAGCUUCUGUGUUCAUUUUACUGUUCAUGAAAACACAGAAUUGUUUUUGUUUUUUAUGUGACGGCUUACUUUGUAAGCAGACUUUAGAAAAUAGUUUAUGAAAAGCAGGCCAUAAAUAAUUAAAGAAAUUACUUAUGAUGCUAAAGGUUAAUAUAGAUUAGCAUAGUCCACUAAAAGUAGAUCCCUAAAUGAUUUGUUUAAGAGCAUAAGAAAAGUAUUACAUUCAGACCGAUAGGAUACCAAUGGUAUUAUACUAUCUCUGUCAGUGGUGAAUACAAGAUGCUACAAUAAUACGUACACCACUACAAGGCAAUAAUACAGGAACUGUGUUGAAAUUCAUACUUUCAGAAACUGAGAUGAACUAAGAUCAAACUGGGUUUAUUUCCUCUUAUUUCAUAUCUCUUUCUGAUAGUAUAAAAUGUAGCUCAAGGAUAUAUGCCCCAAAUAUGUACAGCACAAUUAAUCAGGAUUCCGCCCGCCCCCCCUUGCACAAAUCCUCACAUUAAAUGGAGUUUGGGCAGAAGACUGAUUGAUUGAACCAUCUGUCACCAGUGGACUUCAGCUAGGAUACCAGAGAGAAAAUUUUCUGAUAAAAUAAUUGCAGAAUAAUAUCACUGAUGGCUGUUUCAUCAUUAACACUCCUUCUAAUACUAAACUUAUGUAGUGAGUGUUUUGUCCGGAAUGUCUCUGGAUGUCGCAGCAUGCUUGGAGGACCCCUAAUGUUUGCAGAAGUAUAAAAAGGCUUCUUUAAAAACAAAAACACACAAAGCCCCCCCCCCCCCCGAACAAUGAGGACUGAACAUGCGCAAUAGCCAUAGAAUAUUGUGUGAUAGCUGGAAAAGGAAAAUGGAGAACAAGAUGGAGGAGUGGAAUGCCCUGCUUGGAAGGAGGGGCUGGCUGGAACCCAAACUGUGAAGGUAUACGACAGUAUUUUUUACAGGUCCUGCCAGGUCCCACUUGUUCCUCCUAACGGCAAUCUGACACAUAGCACAUAAAACUGGGGCACCCAUGGGCAAAGUAAGGGUUUCUGUGCAUUCCCCAGGUAUUCAGAAAAAAUAUUAUUUUGUAAAAAAGAAAAGGGGAAGGGACAGAAAAGAACCCAUCUUCCAACAAGAACUACAUAUGAGCAAAGCUCUCCUGUAAUAAUGGUACGUUAAGACGUGUAUAAAAUCUCUGACAGUGAUGAACGCUGGAGGGAUGGAUUGGCUUUUCAACAAGGAAAAAGAGGAGCUCUCCCAGACAACACAGGGAAUAGGGAUUUAAAAAAAUAUCCCUCCCCUGCUAUAGUUUUCAGUUUGGGAGCUGUGGCAAUUCCAAAACAUAUCUGCAUUGAUUUACAAUGCAAUAGCACUCAGAAUUCAGGAUGGUGAUGGCAGCCCCCAGGCCUGAACAAUCUGAAAUAAGUUCAAGGUCCCCUGACUCAUGUCAGGAUAAUGCUUCUAUCCCUGCAAAGUACUGCUGAGGUUUAGGUCUAGCUGAACAAACCCCACCCCCACCCCACCAGGUAUUAUAGUUCUCAAGUUUGUGGCUGCUGAGUAUGUAUGUAUAGGUUAAAGCACUAUCCUCCUGUUGUACCACUCUGGUUGGAGGCCAUUCCCACCACUGUCCCUCAACCAUUUCUGUCCUCUCAGCAGCAAUAAGUUCUAGCGGACAAAGGAGUCUGAAUUCUUCCCCGUCCCCAAGUCCUAAUAGGCCUUCAAUAUUUAGGAUAGUACUUCCUGCAUGGAAUGUAUAUCGUAUACCUGUAUGAACUGCAUAUUGUUAAUACAUGGUGUGGAUCUGAUUAAAUCCCACACUUCAUUGCAAGUAAAGGACCAGUCUCCACCUAGGAAACUACAAUAAAUGAGACAACCCUGUCUCUCUAUUCUGGAGUCACAUUUUUUCUUAUGUAGUCACUACUAUCUCAGGGCCUUUAUCCUUGUGUGAUCCAGUCUACUUAGUAAAAAUGUCAUAUGGUAUUCCUUAUCCCUUUGCUGCCCGCCUCCCCCCAUUUACUUAUGUGAAAUUAGCAAUAUUAAGCUGGAGGACAAAGGAGGUUCCUUUCAGCCAUAUAUUCUAUUAAUUUCAGUUCUCUUUGUGUGGUCUCACUAGCUUCAAAUCAGUUAAUUUCCCAUGCUUGUUAAGUUGAAUAUGAUUAAGAAUCUCAUGUAUACAUGGCAUAGUUCUCUUCAUAUAUAUAUCUGUUAUUAAAUCUCACAUUUUUUCUUUUUCUGUGUUAGAAUUUUGAUGGCCUGGCAAAUGUUACUGUUUUGAUCUUUUAUCAGGUAAAGAACAGUUUUGCCCAAAUAAUUUCCAUGUAAGAAACUGUAACAUAUAAAACAACCCUCUCUUUGUAGUGUGAAGUCAGAACCCAACCCAGGAUUUUGAUUAAUCUUCUAGAGAUUAAUUGGACACAACUGUCCAUUCAUCUAUCCAACCUCACAGUUCCUUGAUUCAUAUUCCAUUCCAUUUAUAUUAUAUCAGAACUGUAAUGUUUAAUACAAAUCGAUGUACAAUUAUACCAAAUUUGGUUCAAAUGUGGGCUCUUCCUGUAAAGGAUGAGUUUAUUUUUAAAUGUUAUUAAGAAGCGCACAAAUUGCAAUUGUUACUAAGAGAAUAAUCUCAGCAAGUGAACAGUUAGCGAGCUGUGUUUUCUUGAAAAGUUGUCUCCAUGGUUGUCAAAUCGUAACUUGCCUUUAAGUAAGAAUGUUUCACAGAAUGAUCUCAAACUCUUCAGUCAGAAAAAGACACAGAAGCCUGGCUGAGACCCAUACAACUCUUAUAUUGGCAUCAGUCUAAAGAAAGCAAUGAUACAUUGCUUUAGAAAUUAUCAAGAAAUGUAAAAAAUGCAUUUGCCCUUUUUGUUGUUGUCAUAGUCAUCAACGGGGUGGGACUAGGGUUAGAAAACAAAGCAGAAAUAGAUGUGGUCCUGUACAUAGUGCUCCUUUGGCUGUCCCUUCAGACUCCGGUGCAGUGGGGGGUGGGGUAAUAAAAACAGGUUGGAUCCCUUGCAGUAGCAGCAACAUCUGCAUCAUUGUAAUCAUCAACAUCUUCAUCAUACAUGUUCACUUGAAGAGGCAGACGAUGCAGAAAAGUUCUUGGGCUAAGGGAACUCCAGCUCUGGAUCAUUAAGCCCAGCUUUCCUCCCAUAAUCUAAAUCAUACAGAAUAAGGAAGGGGGGGGGAAUCCAAUAUAACCGGCCUGGUAGAAUGACCAAGGGUGAUGGGGGAAGAUGGAAGUCUUGGUACUUGCAAUAAAUGUCUUUAGUCUGCAGUGUAGACAGUUGUCGAGCUGCAGGAGUGAACAAACUCAAAAGAGUGAUGGUUGGCUUUUUCCCCUUCUAGAAAACAACCCAGUCUUUAGCUUCUGUAAAGCUUCCAUCGGCAGUGCAGUGAUUGUAUCCAACAUGUAAGCCCAAUACAAAGGGAAAAGAAAGGACAUUUUAUGGAACUAAAGCUUUUCCCCUUUCCCCUACCAUGCCCCAGACUGCCCCACUUAAAGGAGGCAGUAGCUCUUUGCUCAGACCCAUUUAAGUAUCUCUUUCUAUGCUUAUAUUAUAGCCACUUGAAGUAAAAUAGCAGCCACUCAUAAUCUAAACUGUGCUGGCAGCAGCAAGCUCUGGCCAUGGUCCACCAAAAUCUCUGUUAAAAUAUCUGCAAAGUACCUUUCAUUCAUUGGUAAUUGAUACGAAAUAGGGUAUAGACAGACUAUGACAAAGAACUAAGAUCUUUCAUCCGGUGCUUGAAAUUUGGAUAGAAACUCCUUCCUCUAAUACCCAAAUGCACAAUGAUGGCAGAAGAACCUACUUUGAGUAAAUUGCAUCUUCAGUCUAACUUUCUAUAGAAACAAAAGAUGCUCCAUACCAUAGGUAAAUGAUUUCAUUAAUACCUAAACCCAGAAGGUUCUAUAUAUAACAGUUUGUUUUGACAGAAAUUGUAGCACCAGUAUAUACUUAGAAAACAUUGUUAAUUCCUGUCAAGUGUGUAUAUAUUGUGGUUAAUAUAAAUUCAGUGAAUAAUUUGCAUAAAUAUGCAAUUUUGCACACUCACAUGAAGGCAUAAAGAAUGUGUUUAAAUAGGCAGUGUAAAUAGGGGGUUUUGUAAAAUGCCUGCACAGUAUGCAUAGUCUCCAAAUAAUAUCAGUAAAUAUAUAAAACUGGAUAAUAUAAACAGAUUAGAUAAUACACUGCCUGGUCAACAUGCAUAAUUUUUGUGUUAAGACUAUUCAUUUUGAUAAGGACAUGUAUGAAUCUAAAAUCACUUUUUCAACAUCACUUGGAUACCCCUGACAAUGUGCAAAAUUAAUUACUUAUGCUAUCACUUUGUAUUUGUUCUCUGUGCCUUUCUGUAAAUUUGCAAAGUCACAAUUUAACUCUAACUAACCUCAAUAAAUGCAUGUCAAAGCGGUACAGUACUUAUGAUGGCUGGAUGCAUGAAAUAUCAGUUCUCUGACAAAUAUCACAGGAGGUAAAGGAAUAGCACCAUAUACAACCAGUUAUGGCUGGUAUUUUACUACCUGUGGAAUUUACACUUUUAUGGGAACUCAUAGGGUGAUAUCCAAGGUUAGUCAGAGUAGACCUAUUGAAAUCAAUGGACUUAAGUCUGAUUAUCAUUGGUAGUAUACGACUAGUGAUAAGUUUGCAAUUGCAUAUAACUGUCUUCAUCUAUUCCCUUGGAAUGCUGUCAUAAUCAGUGAAGAAUAAUGCAGCCACCUAAUUCCCCAUUCCCAAACGUGCAGUGCAUGCUUACGUUGGGAGUGGGCAAUUCUAAAUGAAUUUAGGAUUGGUUUACAUGCAUAUGUGUAUCAUUUAAUUUCACUUGAUUACUAAAUGGCUUACAGUUGUGAACCAAUUCAACUGAAAAGCUUUAAGCCCCUUCUGAUGUUUAUUUAAGUAGCAUGAGAGCUGCUGCAGUUCAGCUGUUUCCUAUGCUGCUUGAGUGGCAUCAGAAGCCCUAAUAUGGGAGGAGUCCACAGUGUGCCAUCCCACACCAUCAUCACUAUUCCUAAAGUUGAGGUAUCAUAGGCAUGGGAAGGAGCCAUACUGCCAUCUCCAUCCAUGUGUCCAUCCUGUGGUGCAGGAUUUACACUGAUGCAGCUCCCAUUUUAUGAAGUUAAUGUCAGAACGGAUCCUUUGAAUUUUAGGUGAUCUGAAGUUAUAUGAAAAGUAUUUCUGUUGUAUUUGAUCUGUUUUGGCUUGUUGAGAAAUGAAAUUAAUAUCUUGAUAUUAGUCAUUAGCAACAUAAUCCUGUACACAUCUACUCAGAAAUAAGUCUCAUUGAGAUUAAUGGGACUUAGGUAUACCUAUGGGUAUAGGAUUGCAGUCUUUUUGAUAUAAAUUAAAAAAUUAAAAAUUGUCCAGUAGCACCUUAGAGAGUAUGCACACGAAAGCUUAUACCCACAACAAACUUAGUUGGUCUCUAAGGUGCUACUGGACAAUUUUUUUACAGUGGUACCUCGGGUUAAGAACUUAAUUCGUUCUGGAGGUCCAUUCUUAACCUGAAACUGUUCUUAACCUGAGCUACCACUUCAGCUAAUGGGGCCUCCCGCUGCUGCCGCGCGAUUUCUGUUCUCAUCCUGAAACAAAGUUCUUAACCUGAGGUACUAUUUCUGGGUUAGCGGAGUCUGUAAGCUGAAGCAUCUGUAACCUGAAGCGUAUGUAACCCGAGUUACCACUGUAUUUAUUUCGACUGCGUCAGACCAACAUGGCUACCUACCUGAAUCUAGAGUCUUUUUGAUGAAUACUGUAUGCAGGUGUGGACUGGCCCUAGUAAUUAUGAAUAUGAUAUUGAGGAAUGACAGCUAUUCUGGAUUAAUAAAAAAUGAAUGAAAUUGUUUGAUCUAAUGCAUACAUGGUUGGAAACAGUUAAUGAGGAUUCUUAAGCGCAAACAAAACUAAAAAAAGCAAGUUGUUUCCAGGCGGAUUCUGGCUCUCUGCUCUGAUUGCAGCAUGGUUAUUAAUUGUUGGCCAGGAUGUGAUUUUGGAGAACAUGCUAUAUAAAUUGUGUGCACAGUUGUCAGGGCUGGCUCAGGACAUUUUGCCAUUAGAGGCAAAACAGAAAAUCUUGACCCCUCAUCCGCUGUGUGUCUGCUGCUGUAUGUCUGCCCACUUGCUGGAUCUGCUGCCUCUCCCAGCUUUCUGGAGCUUGUUGCCCUGAGGCGACUGCCACACCUCACCUCAUGGGUGGGCUUGGCCCUGACAGUUGUAUAAUGCCUCUCUAAGAAUGGAUAUCAUCAUACUUUGCAAAAUUUGAUUGAUUUUUCAUAGAUAGUUCAACCUAUUUAAUAAGUCUUCUUGUUGGAGCCUUCUAUAAGUGAAUGCAUGGUUUAAUAAAAUCUGGAGCAUGAUGGUUAUGAGCAAAGUAGAAAAAAAUAGUAAAAUUAAGAGAAGAAGGACAAAAAAGAGGUUUUUUUAAACUUUUCAGUAUGUUAUUACAAAUAUUAACACUGGAGGGAAAAUAUAUACUCAUCUUUGAUUUUUUUGUUAGCCCCUUUGUAUGGUUUAAGAGAAGAGAGGGAAACACAUUCAUUUAUGUAAUAGAUGAAGUAUAGUGACUUAUAACCAUCAAUCUACAACCUAGUACUUCUCUGUUAAAUGCAAAGUAUUAAAUGUAUAGUAGUUCUCCACAAGCACAUGGUUAAAAAUUUAAUUUGCUACCACAAGAUAUAGUAACGACUGCCAGCUUGGAUGGCUUUAAAGGGGGGUUGACAAAGUCAUGGAGGAUAAUGCUCUCAAUGCUAUUAACCAGGAUAGUUGUGUACUGCCUCCAGUAAGGGAGGUGGUAUGCCUCUGAAUACCAGUUUCUGGGGAGCACCAGUGGGGAGAGUGCUCAUGUCCUGCUUGUUGGUCACUAUCAGAGCAGGAGAUGCUUGACUAGAUAGGUCUUAGGAGCAAACAUUCCAGCUCCAGAAGACAUGCUUUGAAGACCUUCCUGCUUUGGAUGGCCUUUUGCCUUGCUUCAGCUAAUUUCUAUUUUAAAUGCUGUUGGUUGUAUUGUUUUCUAUACUGAAAUUUUAUUGUUUUAAAUUUAUACCAAUUUAAUAAUGUAAUCUGUUUUAUAAAUAAUAUAUUGGUUUGGAAAAUGCGGUAUAAAUACCUGGUGGCAAUGUUGCAGCACAGAAGCAUACUUGAGACCGCUGAUUUUCAUGAGCUUAACAGUUCUCAGUUCUGUGUUAGAUUAUAUUAUUAUUAUUAUUAAAUUUGUAUACCAAUUAUAGCCAAUAAGACAGUACUUAUUUUUAAAAGAAAGGAAUGGAUAGGGGUUUCAUUUGCUGAAGUAGGGACACGGGUGGCGCUGUGGUCUAAACCACCGAGCCUAUUGAGUUUGCAUAUCAUAAGGUUGGCAGUUUGAAUCUGCCUGGCAGGGUGAGCUCCUGUUGCUUUGUCCCAGCUCUUGCCAACAUAGCAGUUCGAAAGCAUACCAGUGUGAAUAGAUAAAUAGGUACCACUGUGGUAGGAAGGUAAAUGACAUUUUUGUGCACUCUGGCACUUGUCACGGUAUUCCAUGUGCCAGAGGGGUUUAGUCAUGCUGGCCACAUGACCCGGAAAGCUGUCUGCGGUAAAUGCUGACUCCCUCAGCCUGAAAGCGGAGAUGAAUGCUACACCCCAUAGCCGAAUUCGACUGGACUUAACCAUCCAGGGGUCGUUUACCUUGUUAACUUCAUUUGCUGAAAAUAAUGGGGCAUUAGCUCCAGGAUAGAAACUUUGUUUGUGCUGCUGAAGCAAAUGCAGAUCAGGACCAGGCUGAUAAGACAGUUUUUUUCUGAGGAAGUGGCCAGAAUUAGUUAACUAUUGGAUGCUGGUGAAACAAAAAGUAUAUAAGAACCCUUAGCCAGAGAAUAUGACCUUUUCUGCAGAUUUAUGAUUGGACUGCCUGACAUUUAGAUGUUGGGGGCUUAUAUAAUAUGAUACACAAGCCAUAUAUUCCAGAACAGAAUUUACUUGAUUUGGAAGACUUCUGAGUAAGUGGCUUAGAUAGUCAUAAAAUCUGAGUGUUAAAAGUCAUGCCAUAUAACUACUGAGCCUCAGGCCUUGAGACAAGAUAACUAAAGCAACCUCAGGAAAUAACUGUCCAGAUUUUUUGCCUUUAAAAAGGCAUUUUUAUAGCCUCCAUAGAUAUCUUAUUUGAAUCUCUGAAAUUUUGGGUUAAUUUGUUUCUGUCCUACCUGUGAUGGAAAUGCAAUUUCCCCUCAUUUCUGUUCAAUAUGCCCCAUUAUGUAUGUGCAUAUCUUUCUGAAACACGUGUAU
rnacentral:lncRNA from 1 species